rnacentral:rRNA from 1 species
CAUCUACCCUUUGGAAGGUUCAGCUUUCAACCUCCCCUCCUCUGGCCCAAGGCCUGUAUUUAUAGUGUUCUAGAGGAAGUUAUUCAGUUCCAACAUCAAUGGGAUACUCCCUCUUUUGGAUGGGGUAGCUCCUCUCUUGAUGGGAUAAGUUCCUCUAUCAUAGGAGUGCAUGAAACAUCUGGAGGCGCUCAAUACACGUCAAACACUCUUCUAGAAGGCUCUAGAAGUGACCACAAGUAACUUUUUAAAGAUGAAACUCGCGCCUUUUGACCUUUACAGGGGUACGCACCCAUCCUUUGGCUUAUAGAGCGUACACGUACGCAGGUACAGUGUGUUUGGAGUGCGUACACGCAGGCAAGGUAGAGAGAACCUGCGUACCCAGAGAUAAACAUGUUUUUAAGUGACUUUCUCUCUUUUUGAAGUUUGACAUGAAGAGCAAAGGUAUGAGGCUUGACAAGGAGGAUAAUAUGACUAUUGAUGGAGCCAUAUUAACUGCAGAUAGUCAUGGUGACAAAUUUUAGUGUAACAAUAGGGUCUAGUAGCUGGAAGAUCACCACACGUCUUGCGGUGUCUAGUGUGCCCUCGGCGGCCCUUGAAAAUUUGGAGGACCGAGUAGCGUUCAUGCUCGGUCGUACUCAUAAUCGCAUCAGGUCUCCAAGGUGAACAACCUCUGGUAAAAAGAACAAUGUAGGUAAGGGAAGUCAACAAAAUGGAUCCAUAACUUUGGGAAAAGGAUUGGCUCUAAGGGAUGGGCCUAGGGGUCUGUGCCCUCAACUCAUGGGCCGUUGGUAGUCUCCCUCAGCUGCUCUAGUAGUGAUGGCAGGCAGUCGCGUGUUGAUUGGGCUAUGGGCAUAGAAUGCCCCCUGGCGAGGGCUUUUCCCUAGGUGUCAAACAGUGGACUCAGAACUGGUACGGACAAGGGGAAUCUAAUUGUUUAAUUAAAAAAAAGCAUUGCGAUGGUCCCUGCGGAUGCUGACACAAUUUGAUUUCUGCCUAGUGCUCUGAAUGUCAAAGUGAAGAAAUUCAACCAAGUGCGGGUAAACGACGGGAGUAAAUAUGACUCUCUUAAGGUAGCCAAAUGCCUCGUCAUCUAAUUAGUGACAUACAUGAAUGGAUUAACGAGAUUCCCACUAUCCCUAUCUACUAUCUAGUGAAACCACAGCCAAGGGAAUAGGCUUGGUAGAAUCAGCAGGGAAAGAAGACCCUGUUGAGCUUGACUCUUGUUCGACUUUGUGAAAUGACUUGAGAGGUGUAGAAUAAGUGGGAGCCAUUUUUGGCACAAGUGAAAUACCACUGCUUUCAACGUUAUUUUACUUAUUCAGUGGGGCAGAGAUGGGGCACUACCCUUGUUUUUGGCCUUAAGGCGAGUUUCGGCAGGUCGAUCCAGACGAAAGACAUCAUUAGGUGGGGAGUUUGGCUAGGGCAGCAUAUCUGUUAAAAGAUAACACAGGUGUCCUAAGAUGAGCUCAACGAGAACAAAAAUCUCGUGUGGAACAAAAGGGUAAAAGCUCAUCUCAUUUUGAUUUUCAGUACGAAUACAAACCAUGAAAGCGUGGCCUAUCGAUCCUUUAGAUUUUCAGAAUUUGAAGCUAGAGGUGUCAGAAAAGUUACCACAGGGAUACCUGGCUUGUGGCAGCCAAGCGUUCAUAGCGAUGUUGCUUUUUGAUCCUUCGAUGUUGGCUCUUCCUAUCAUUGUGAAGCAGAAUUCACCAAGUGUUGGAUUUUUCACCCACCAAUAGGGAACGUCAGCUAGGUUUAGACCGUCGUGAGAUAGGAUAUUUUUACGCUACUGAUGAACCGCACCACAAUAGUAAUUCAACUUAGUACGAGAAGAAUUGUUGAUUCACACAAUUGGUCAUUGCACUUGGUUGAAAAGCCAGUGGUGGGAAUCUACCAUGUGUCGGAUUAUGACUGAACGCCUCUAAGUCAGAAUCCAUGCUAGAAGCGGUGCAUGUCACUCUUCGACUGUAUCUCAACCCGUAGUAGGGGUGUUGCUUUGUCACCCCCAGGGGCCCGUGUCAUUUGCAAACCAUGACCGUGAAGCAUCUCGGUU